CAGUUAAAUUGCUCGUUAUUCACGCACAGCUUCACACGGUCAUAAAAAUCCUCUAAAUUCCUACACAAGAUGGGUACCUACCUACGGUAUCUACUAUUCAACAAUCACAAUCAAUAAUUCGAUCAAACGGUCGUGUUCCUACUUGAAGAUAAGAACCAACGUCUUAGUUCUUAAAGUAAAAUUCGCUAAAAUGCGUUCAAUUAUUACCCAGUUUAUUUUUGUAUCAAUUUUUUCAUUUCUUUUAUACUUGAGCAGUGCUUUGGGUGACUGGAGCGAUAUUGACCCAAGUGAAGAAUUCAGACACGAAUGCGCGGAAGAUGUACAUUCCCGCAUGCCGCGAGGUUUCGUUGGAGGAGAUGUUCCCGGUAGCCAUACGUGCAUGUUAUAUUGUGCCUUUAAAGUACUUGGAAUGAUAACUGACAACGCGGAUCUGAACAUGCGCUGGGUAUCGGAUAACUUGGGUAGGAGUACAAGAGAAACUUUCAGAAAAAUUCGUGAAUGCGCAUAUACAGAUAGAGGGCCAAAUAUUUGUUCAAAAGCGAGAAGAAACACGCAAUGUUAUUUUAAGUAUAAGGGCACUACACGGGUUGAUAAGGAUUUGAAGCGCAUUUUGCACGGAGAGUACACAUAUUCUCGACGAAAUUAACUUUAGUACCCAAUCAGAAAAGCUACAAUCCCAGGUCACACAGUCUUGAAGCUCAAAAUGACGAUUGUCAAAUUUUUGGCAGGUACUCAAGACCGUGGCAACACUGAUUUUCAUCAUAUCUUCGAGGAGAGAGGCUGGAGAAGAAGAACGUUGCUUCACUUGGUAAAACUGCCUUAAUUAAUCUCAAUAAUUCUAAAUAAAUUUCAACUAUGUACUUACCUAAAUAUAAUGAUUUGAUACCAUUUUAA